UGGGGAAUCUUGGACAAUGGGCGAAAGCCUGAUCCAGCCAUGCCGCGUGAGUGAAGAAGGCCUUAGGGUUGUAAAACUCUUUCGCCGGAGAAGAUAAUGACGGUAUCCGGAGAAGAAGCCCCGGCUAACUUCGUGCCAGCAGCCGCGGUAAUACGAAGGGGGCUAGCGUUGUUCGGAAUUACUGGGCGUAAAGCGCACGUAGGCGGGUUUGUAAGUAGGGGGUGAAAUCCCAGAGCUCAACUCUGGAACUGCCUUCUAGACUGCAAGCCUGGAGGUCAGGAGAGGCGAGUGGAAUACCGAGUGUAGAGGUGAAAUUCGUAGAUAUUCGGUGGAACACCAGUGGCGAAGGCGACUCGCUGGACUGAUACUGACGCUGAGGUGCGAAAGCGUGGGGAGCAAACAGG
rnacentral:rRNA from 1 species